UAUUAUUCUAUGAAGAGAAUAGUAGCGUAAGUUAGGUAGUAGAGAGUCAGUGGAAGGUGUAAACUGAUACCGAUGCUUUUGUGAAUCCACCUUGGAGAAUUAUUAUGAUGAAUAAUACGGAAAAACCGUUAUUUUAAUGAGAGGGUUAUAUUAUUAUAACCAACAAGGGUGGCAACGCGAGGCAAUCGUCCCUAAA
rnacentral:ncRNA from 1 species